rnacentral:rRNA from 1 species
UACGAAGGGGGCUAGCGUUGCUCGGAAUUACUGGGCGUAAAGCGCACGUAGGCGGAUCUUUAAGUCAGGGGUGAAAUCCUGGAGCUCAACUCCAGAACUGCCUUUGAUACUGAGGACCUUGAGUUCGGGAGAGGUGAGUGGAACUGCGAGUGUAGAGGUGAAAUUCGUAGAUAUUCGCAAGAACACCGGUGGCGAAGGCGGCCAACUGGACCAUUACUGACGCUGAGGCGCGAAGCGUGGGAGCAAACAGGAAUAGAACCUGGUAGUCAGACCAGAUACCUUCCUGCAACCGAU